GCCCUCGUUGUCUAAUGGUUAUGACGUCAGACUUCUACAACGAGGUGGCAUCUGGAGGUUCCGGGUUCGAGUCCCGGCGGGGGUA